GAAUCCUAACCCCUUUUUUUCCGAUGAUAUUUUGUGGAAUUAUUUGAAUUUAGUAAACUGGGGUUGUAAUCUUUUUGCCUUUUUAUCAUCAAGAAACUCUCAAUUUCGAUUUUUUUUUCUUUCUAAAAGAAUGAUGAAAUGUGUCAAAGUAAGCGUCUUUAUACAUGCUAUUCGUUCUUAUAAAAGAUUUUAUCACUUUGAAUCCAAAUCCCAUUUGGGUUUUGGUUCUUUAGACUCACCAGUUAGAGCUAGUGUUGGAAUUUUCUGGGAUUUGGAUAACAAACCACCUAAGUCAAUUCCACCAUUUGAUGCUGCCACCAAGUUAAAGAAGGCAGCUGGGGAAUUUGGGGUUGUGAGAUUUACAGUAGCUUAUGCUAAUCGUCAUGCCUUUAGUUAUGUUCCUCCUUUAGUUAGACAGCAAAGGAAAGAGCGAAAAACAUUGAAUUCGUUGGAGAAAAGUGGAGUUGUUAAGGUUGAGGAUCCUUAUAUAUGUAGGGUGUGUGGGAGGAGAUUUUAUACUAAUGAGAAGCUGGUAAAUCAUUUUAAGCAAAUUCACGAACGUGAGCAUACGAAAAGGUUGAAUCAGAUAGAGUCUGCUAGAGGGAAAAUGAGGGUGAAAUUGGUGGCUAAGUAUGCAAUGAAGAUGGAUAAGUAUAAGGGUGCUGUUAAGGAUGUUUUGACCCCGAAAGUUGGGUAUGGUUUGGCGGAUGAUUUAAAACGAGCAGGUUUUUGGGUUAGGACUGUCUCGGAUAAGCCACAGGCUGCUGAUAUCGCGUUGAGGAAUCAUUUGGUUGAUGUAAUGGAUAAGAGGAUAGUAGAUUAUGUGGUUCUUGUGUCUGAUGAUUCAGAUUUUGUGGAGGUCUUGAAGGAGGCAAGGUUGAGGUGUUUGAAGACAGUGGUUGUUGGUGACAGCAAUGAUGGUGCUCUUAAGAGGACAGCGGAUGCUGCUUUCUCGUGGCAAGAGAUCAUGAUGGGAAAGGCCAAGAAAGAAGCUGUCUCUGUUGUUCGCCGUUGGAAGGAUCGAGAUGUUCUGAAAAGAUUGGAGUGGACAUAUGAUGCAGAGGUAGAGAAAAAACUGUAUUAUUCUGAAGUUGAGAGUGAUGAUUCCGAUGGAAUCUUUUCUGGGCAAGAUGAUAAAGAGGAUGUUAGUGCUUCCAUCUUGAAGGAAGAUGCUGGUGCGUGGUGGAAGCUGGACUCUCGUUCAGGACAUGAUUGAUGCAGCAACUGAUCAUUGGCUUCAGCUUCAUUCUUAUACGAAGGAGAUAUGAACUGGUGAUUCCACCAUUGUCAGAAUGCUUUCCUAACGUUGAGGUUAACACUGCUGAAAGUUGUUAGCUUAGAAUUCUCAGAUCAAAAUGAGUGCAAAGGAAUUGAUGCAGACUGAGCCCCAGCAGCUAUGCAACGUACUAAAUGAAAAAAUAGAAAAUUAACCUUGUGCCUAAUAGCCUCCAGAACUUUCAUGAAUUAGAUUUUGAAUCAUGAGUGAAGAGGAACCUUUGAAACGGAACAGAGAACUGAGAAGCUCGUCAUACAUCAAAACUGGAAAUUUGUAGCUAUAACAAGGAAAAAGCCCGGGGUACAAGAAUACAAAAUGAUGUUCAAGCACCACAAAAACCAUGAAUAGAAACAGAAGCAUGCCCAUUUUGUACAACAGUGCAACUGGAUUCGACCACUCCUGCAAAAAAUGAACAAGAUGAAUAACAAAGCAAGUACAGAUAUAUUGUGAUGAAUAAUGUUUAUGUUGAAAAACUUUUUUAUAGUUAUUUUAAUUGAGAUCUAUUUUUCUUCCCAUGUAGAAACUACAACAUUUUCAUGUCAAUAAUUCUGAUGUUAUUGCUUAAACAA